AGUGAACGCUGGCGGUAGGCCUAACACAUGCAAGUCGAACGGCAGCACAGUAAGAGCUUGCUCUUACGGGUGGCGAGUGGCGGACGGGUGAGGAAUACAUCGGAAUCUACUUUUUCGUGGGGGAUAACGUAGGGGAACUUACGAUAAUACAGCAUACGACCUACGGGGGAAAGCAGGGGAUCUUCGGACCUUGCGCGAUUGAAUGAGCCGAUGUUGGGUUAGCUGGUUGGGGGGGUAAAGGCCCACCCAGGCGACGAUCCGUAGCCGGUCUGGGAGGCUGAUAGGCCGCAUGGGAGGUGGGCCACGGUCCAGGCGCCUGAGGGAGGCACCAGUGGCGUAUAGUGGACAAUGGGCGCAAGCCUGAUCCAGCCAGACCGCGUGGGUGAAGAAGGCCUUCGGGUUGUAAAGCCCUUUAGUUGGGAAAGAAAAGCAGCAGGUUAAUACCCCGCUGUUCUGACGGUACCCAAAGAAUAAGCACCGGCUAACUUCGUG
rnacentral:rRNA from 1 species